UCAAAUAGAAAAUUAGUACAAAAAUAAAAUCGAUAAAAACUAUUCAGCGCGAAUCUAAUUUAAAUUUAAUACUUCAGUUAUUUAAAAAUUUAAUUUAUAACAAUGAAAGUGAGUCAAAAAUUAUAGUUUUUUAAAGACCUGAACUCAACUUAGUGGGGUUAAGUCAAAUACGGGAUAUGUGACAUUUGCAUAUACAUUUUGAGGUUCACCAUUAUAUACCUUUCUUGACUGCAAAAAAUUGGAAUCAGAAGAUUUUUCCUCAAAUGAAUAAGGAGGCAGACGACCACCUGUAUUAAAUUGAACUCCUUGUUGGUUGGAAUAAAUUUCUAAAACCCUGUUGUGAAUUGUAAGUUUUUUCAUGCAAAGCUCUAGCGACAAAUGAAGUACCAGAUUGGCUUUUAAGAACGCAGAAAUUAUGAUCAUAUCCUUGACCAGCAGGAACCUAUAAAUAGUGUCGAAUUAAGUUAAAAAAUUAA